CAACAUACACUGUAGGGGAGUCAGUUUACUCUGCUUUCUUCCCCCUAACGGACAACUUACGUGCACAAGAGAGGAAAAGGGGGAAGGGAGGGACUAAUUUGGAGCGGACGCACACGCGCUUCGGGCCGUUUCCGGCUGCUCUCCUCUCAGAGGUAUUUCAGGUGCCUCUUAGUAUUGACGGGUUCAGUAUCAAGCCCUGCCUCGGAUAGACUGCGCGGGAAGUCUGACACCGCCCUAAGCCAUAUGAGGUUGCCAGGGAACCGCGGACCAGGACUCAACACUCGCUUCGGCUCACUGGUCAGAACCACCAGAGGCUGUCUCCUAGACAGGUGAAGUCACUCAUCUCUUUGCAGCUGUGUGCUGAGACUUGGCAGCCAGUAUGUAAGAGACCCUUGGAGGAGAUAUGUCUUGUAUCAGAAUGAAAUUUACAACAUGAUGCCUUGACUACUGAUGCUUUGGGCUGACUCACUUUUUUCCUCAGUGACUAACUCCUUUAGUUACUCCUUCCCCUACCUAUGGAUUGUCUAUGUGGAUUACUGCUUUCUUGCCUCUGUCUUGCUGUGAAUUGUUUGAUUCCCGGGUCUGGCCUGAUGGAAUUUCAUCUUCCAUUCCUGGGUUCGAGGAAUUGGAUACUGCUUACCUUGCUGACCUGGAGGCUAGUCCUUGUGUCCUGAUUUUUGAUUCUUACCUGCCCUUACAUUACUGAUGACCUCCGAGUCUAAACAUCUUCCUGGUUAUACUCAACCAUCACAACCAGUCCUGCCCAAGAGACAAGAGCCUUUCCUGAAAAAUUGGUGUGGCUGACAUACACCAUGUCAGGUUAUCAUCAUGAGGACUCAUCUCAAGGGGUCUUCUACUGAUGAUCUCAGCUCUUGCCCUCUGCUUAUUCCCCUUUCCAGAUUUCUUUCAUCCUCCUAGGAUGUAAGGCUUUUCUGGCAAACAGGAGACCUGAGAACACUGAACCACUAAGUUCAAAGGACAGAGUGGGCAAGACGCAGAGUCAGAAGCGGGGAAGGAAACUGAUUUCCUCUCUACAAAAUCAUGGUCCUGGUGGUUAGAAGACAGCCACAGUUCCUAUAAAUAGUUAGCCACUGCUGUUUGCUAUUGGGAGCUUAUUCUGCUGGGAACACCUUGUAGAAUCCACUUCAGAAUUGACUGUAGCUGAUGUUCAAGGUCAGUCAUGGUUUGCCAUAUGGGGGGAGAACUCUCACUUCAAACGGUGUAGAUGAUUCAUUUCAGAAUGACCUAGUAGGUUCUCAAAGGCAUGUCUCCUGGGGCAGCAGAGAAGCCCAGGGUGGAAAGACAUAGCUACCUAGAGCAGCUGAAGUCAGGUGUUGUCAGGUUACAGAUGUGCAAUGCUGGUUACCACAGCGAUGGCUGGAGUUAAAAAUGUGGGUCCGCAGGGUGUGAGUUGGGGACAAGUGUUUGAUGCACACAGCCAGUGAGAGGCAGAGCUGGUGGUUCAGCCUUUCAGACUUCACUGUCCCCAGCUGCCAUAUCACCAUCUCCUGCACUUUAACAAAUACCUUUUUCAUAUGCACUGCAUUUCUUUUUUGCACUGAAAUUCUCCAUUUAAUUUUCAUUGCUUUUAGUAAAACUAUUUACAGCAGUGCCUCUCAGAAUUUAAUGUGCAUACAAAUCACCUGGGGAUCUUGGUAAAUGCAGAUUUUGACUCAGAACAUUGAGAUAUGGACUUCUAGUCUGCAUUUCUAAAAGGCUCCCAGGGGAUGUGGAUGCUGCUGGUCUGGAGACCACACUGUGAGGAGCAAGGUCAUAAGGUAAGAACCUAAAUGAAAAGGGAUGAUUAGGUUGUACAUUUGAAUGAAAUGAAUAAAAGACAGGUGUUGUGAUGCACCUUGAAGCUGCUGACUCAACUUCCAGCAGAGCCUUUGUCAAACUUACUUGCUUUCUUUGUGGCCUGAAGGUUUAUAAGACCCUCUAAAUGUAUUUUGAAUGAUGAUUUGAAUAAUACUGUUAUAUAAAACCUUCUCCCAAAGCAGUUCAAAGUGCUUUUUAUAAUGUUAGCCAUCUGGUCAUUGCUUUCUGAGGGUACUAAUCUCCUUCUAGGAAAACACUAAUAAUAUACUAGUAAUGUGAAAAAUCAAAUACAUACUCCCCACAGAACGUCAUUUUCUUGCUCUGCAAGUACAUUCUCAUUACAAACUGCAUUCCCUAAACCAAAAUAGCAAUAUUAUGAGGGUGCACUGGGCCUAUUGUAGUUUUGUCUCUACUUCCUAACGGGACAGAUAGGGAAUUUCAAAGUCCUGCAUCAUCUGCUAAGAAGUUUUGUUCUGGGGACGCUGUGUUUACUAUUGACUGAUUCAGUUUGAUUAGAUUUUCAUUCAUAGUAUCCGCAAUUUCAAAGAAGAAAUAAAUGAAGUAAUCUCAGAGAUCCUAUCAUACAUUUAUGUAGUUCUGUAAAGGAUGUGAUUAACUUUUGCAGUAUGGUUUAUGAAGAAGCACUUUGAAAGGAAAUACGUAAAAGCAUACUUCCAAGGUUUUCAGCUAAAUUGAGAUUUGAUGUUGUAAUAUGAUAGAGCAGAUAAGGCAUGGACUUGAAACAGAGCCUUAACAAAGCCAUCAUAGGGAUGAUGGUUUUUAAAAAUUACUUUGAUACUUUUUCUUCUCUGGGGCUUAUUACGUGUUCACUUAGUGUUUAAUAUGCAUCUAUUGAGCAUCCAUGGUGAGCACUGACCUAUCCCUAGGCUUGCAGUGGGAGACAAAAUAGUUACCAACCUCAUGGAAGUUACACUUGAGGGGAAGGCAGGCAUAAAACAAAUAGCUACACAAAUACAUAUAUGAUUACUCACUGUGGUAAGUGCUACGAAAGGCAGUCCCUGGGUAGAGUCAUAAGGGCAAAAGAGAGUUCAUCACAUUUGAAGAAUUAAAAAAGCCAAGUGCUGCUAGAGCAUAGUCAAUGAAAGUAGCAGUGAAUACUUACAUAAUGUGUGCAAGGUACCAGGCAUGGUGCAGAAGCCUUACAGGCCAUAACACAUUAAGGCCUUACUACUACCUUAUAAAGUCAGUACCACUCUCCUCAUUUCCUAUAUCAGAGGCACAGAGAGGGUUAAGCGAGUUGCCCAGUGUUUCAUGGGUGGAAUGUUUGAACCCAGAAGGUCUUCAUCACUGUCCAGCAUUGCCUCAGUGCAGAGAAAAGGGGGCAGGGCCCAGCUUGGCAGCUUGAUGUUCCCCUCUCUUAAUAUAAUGUGCAGCUUCAACGUUUUAAUCACCAUGUGAAAGAACAGGAGGUUAACUGACUUAUUGAAAUACAAAUGACAGUGACAUAAAAUAAUAAUGGUUUACUAUAUCAUAAGAUAACUUAUAGCCCCGGUAAGUAAACUCUAAAAAUGCAUAGCCAUCUUAUCAUUUCUAAAAAAUUCUCCAUGAGGGGUGACCUGAAGAGGCAAAUAGCCAUAAACUAUAUUCACAUCUCGGCAUGGGUGAUUCAGGUCUUCAUUUUCUGACUAUGAUAUUAAUAUGCCCUUUCUGUAAUUCAUGGAGGAUAUAUUAACUAAUAAUCCAAGGAGGAGACCUAUAUCUCCUUUGUAUUUUCUAUGGCAGGACAAUGCAGCAAGAGUGUAGAUGUCAUGGUAGGAUAUGAAAAAAAUGGAAGUUUAUAUGAUUACUUUUUGUCAUUCUGAGUAGAUCAGCUUUGCUAUGGGUUUAAGUUUUAAAUAAUGAAUCACUAUAAACUUAAAAACACUUACUAAAAUUUUCAUUUAAUUUUCUAUUUAUUUCAUAUACAUUUCCCAAUGUGGAAACCAAGCCCUGGGAUAUAUUAUUGCUGUCAUAGUUCUGUAAGUGACAACGCAGUGGAAGAGAACACAGCAGACACCAGGCCGCUUCUUAUCAUACCAAGUCAUCCAGAAGGCUCCAAGCAGUUGGAGUGUCUGAUGAGAAACUUGGAAAAGGAUAGAUAAGGCAUUCUUAAGUCAUAGUCUAUGCUUUUCAGGGCUUUGCUUUUUGUGGCUGAGUUUUAACAAAUGUCAUGGUUCAUUGUGGCAGGAAGAAAGGAAAAAACAUAAGUAAAUCACAAGCCGGGUAAUAUGUCUUCGAGAAGCUAAAAGUUGCCCAUUUGGAGUUUUGAUUAUCAAAAAGUGAUGGGAGUCUUGGAGUAAUGUCACUUGAAUUUUCCCCUUUCAGGAUGGGAAACAAGGCUGAGGCAUCAAAUGAAUUUCCUGAGGUCAUGUAUCAAGCUGGUAGCAGCAGAGCAAAAGCUAGAGCUCAGCACUCCCGACUCAGGCUGUGCACUUGGGGCAGGCAUGUGUAUGAGACAUUGUGCUUUAGGGUUUCCUCUGACAAGGGCAUGGAAUUAGAAAUACAGUAUGAAUUUUUUAAGGAGUACAUACACCCAGAGAACACAGAUAUUCCAAAACUUGUGUACCUGGUUUAUGAAGCAAAGAUAAGGUAUGAUACUGGGAUAACAUAUGAACAAUACCCUACUGUUGGUCUUAAAAAUAAUAGAACAUCUUAACCUUGAUGACACCCAUGGUCCUUUUCUUUGACCUAACCAGUCUUUCUAAAGACUAAAACACCUUACAAAUAGUUUUCACAUGUGAAAAAUAUUAGGGUCAUUUCAUAAAUUCAUUAUGUCCUGAUUUACUCUUGGCCAUUAGAUGUCUCCUCUUUCCUGUGAGAACCCAGAAUGAUCCUCUACUGGUGUACUCCUGUGUGAAGCCCACUCAGGUCCCCGCUAGAGCUAUGACAAACAAGAGACUGAGGUAGCAAGGUUUGUGCAGGAUUCAGGGAAUAAGGGUAUCUGCUUUUUAUUAUUGCGUUGAGUCUGAAAUCAUAAGCAAUGUCAGCGAUAAAAUCUUUUCCUUGAUGAGGUUGACUGCAAUGCUCCCUCCACCUGUGUGUACUACUGCUCUGGGGAACUAUGAACAAACUAAAUCCAAGGGCAGGGAAGGGGGGCGGAAUUUUCGCCUGGAUAAUAACAUUUGCUUCUCUUCUAAUCUUCAGACCUUCAUGCAGAAUAUCCAUGAAAAUCAAGUAAACAGUGAAUUGUACUAAUAUGAGAAAUAAUUAAGAUUGUCUGCUACAAG